UCGAAAGUGAAAUUUUUUUUCUACAUAGACUAGACCCAGUUUCCACAGCUGUAAGAUGAUCCUAACCAAUGUGCAGAUAAUCCAUAAGCUUCAUUACAGCCAGGAGCUUCCAUAUUCUCUCCAUUGUCACAAUAGCUUAUUUUCUUAUCCACUACCAGCAAAAUAGAAUUGAUUUUCACAUCUUUUUUCCCUGGCCACAUACUGAGGGGUUCCAAUGAGCAGCAAAAAGACCAAAAGGAAAGCUACUGUAGAAAGGGGGGAAAAAAUCUAAAGAGCCCACUGAUUCCCUGACUUGAAAAUAAGUCCCUGAAUAAUUGGGAACUGCAUCAGGAAAGGAAUGACUACCAUAAUUCAGAGCUCCUUCACACAAUUGGAAGAAAGGAUUCCUUUAUGAAUCCAGUAGGAAAUUAAUAUGGCCUAUCACAUGAUGAAGCUAAUUUUAAGGUCAGGAUUAGGGUAGAUAUACUACAAAAUUUUAUUAUCAUCUCUAAUAAAGUUCCAAUGGCCAAGUGUGGGGAAAAACUUAGGAGGUGAGCUAUGGGUGCACUGUAUCAUGGGUGGAGCUCAAAUGUACUGUCAUGACUGAGGUGUAAGUGAGAUUGGUAAGUGAAUUCACAAACACUGUACUGUUUUCAUCUAAACCUUGGGUAAUCACUGAUUCAGAUCUUUAUAUAGAACAAGUACCAAAUGCCUCUCACAUUGUAUCUGACGGUUUGGUGAUCAACUGAGUGGAGUGUUAUGGGAAGGAACAAGAAUUCCUACUGGCUAAUGUUAAGAGUGCAGACAGGGAAAGCAUACCUUCCCAUCUGCUGCCUCUGGCACUCAUUAAUCAUGCUGGCAUUUAAGAAAUGGCAGGGCAGGUGCAAAAGCAAGAGCUGGUGGGAAAGGGAAGUUAUAAUAAGGAAGAAAAGGAAAGAAGGAUUUGUUUUCCUGAACAACCAUGUUAUGUACUAUGAUAAAGGAAUGAGGGAAAGUGUGCCUGGCCCAAUGAUGAAUACACCUGCAGCAAGAAUAUAUUUGUAUUUGCCAAGUUCCUGCCUCCACUCCAGAACCAGAAUUCAAUAAGGCUAUAUAAUAAAGAUUGGACAGAAGCACCA
rnacentral:lncRNA from 13 species